UCGCUGCUCUUCGUCGCCAUCACCAUUAUGAUCGAUUGGUCAUGAAUAUGACUUGAUUUAAAUGAGACAUAUCAUGACAAAAAAAUCACGUUUUCAGCUCUUCUACACUUAUAUUUGUGCCAGUGUGCGUACCAACCCUCUAAUAUUGAAAAAGACAACUGCCUCCUUGUUGCGUGUGCUGCUGCAGUCUCACUUCCUGUCAGUCGCGGUGUUCAGAUUUCAGUCCUCUUGUGACGUCAUUUUCGGGCUCAUGAACAUAAUCCUGACCCACUUCCCAAGCUUUCCAGCAGAGGCCACCACCCACUGUCCACCCACAGCUUUCUGGUUAUACAGAGCAAGGCUAAGGUGACACUCUGACAUUUUCUUCAUCGCAAGAGAUGACCACUGGCGGUAUGUCGAAGCUCAGACCUAAGCAUGGUAGUUGCUCUGUUGUUGGCUGCAGUGACCAGCGCAAGUUGGUAUAUCGGCCCCAGCCUCCGAGGACUGAAGGACGGAGUGGAUGAAGUUUGAACUUGAACGUAUGUGUGCGUGCGUUAACCACUUCUGACUGCCUUCAAAACGGACAAUACAGCACAGGACAGCACUGAGAAUUAACCUGAAAGAGGAUUAAUACCAACUGUCUGUGGAAAACUACAGACAGUGGAAAUCCAUGCACUUGAGUGAAAACACUGGGCGUCCCCAAGCAUCAAUAUCCAGUGGUGAGCCAGUGAAAGCAGAUCCAACACAAGAAUCAGCUUUGGCCAGGCACUCAUUAACAAGUCUGUCCAUCUUUGUUAUUGUUUGGAAAGAAACAUCUGUAUCUUUAUGCUAACGAGUAGACUGCUGUUCUCUGUUUUCAAAAAAGUUGUGUGCUGUUUGUUGUAAGAAUCUGAGAAUAAAAAUGAAGACUGUAUGAACUGUUUUGUGUGCUUUCAGUGUUUGAUAUGUAACAUGUUAACACGUAACAAACACGACAGGUUAACAGUAAACAAUGUAAGAUAGAGGUAACAGUAUGUUAUCAUUAUUAUAUUUGUAUUAUAAUCGCGGACAAUUUAUAUGCAUAAAAGAACUUACUGCUUGGAUUAAAGGUCUGUAGUCUGCUCUGUCUGUACAUUUAAACACACUGGUUCAGGACAUUGCAUGCUGGUAGGUUCUGAAUGUGGCGUUGUCCUGUAACCCAGUCAGUUGGAAAAUGUAAAUCACAUUAGAUUAUAGAAAUUAUGGCUGCAUAAUUACUAAUAGGGACACAGCUUCCAAUAGCCGCUACAUAAACAUACUGCAAGCUUCUAUCAUUAGCUUUAUAGCAGCACAGCCUCUACAGCCGGUGUUUCGAUCUAAAGAGUGACCAUGUUUACUGGUGAACGCGUCUAUGGUUUUCAUACUUAUGAAGAGUCUUGAAACGUGAAGACAGGUAGCCGAAUGCUCAUGAAUGCCGUCCUUAUUUAUUUUUUCUCAUUGACAUUACAAUGUCAAAAAAUGAAGUUUAUCAACUUCCAAACAUACAA